rnacentral:sRNA from 1 species
UUUAUCUGGCGCUCCGAAGACAGCAGGUGGCAUCCGCCGUAAUUCCUGCCGAGGACAUCAACAAUAUCUUGAUUGUUUUUGUGUCUCUGCGUCUUUAUGCCGCAGGGGUUUUCUUUUUG